rnacentral:rRNA from 1 species
GUCGAGCGCCCCGCAAGGGGAGCGGCAGACGGGUGAGUAACGCGUGGGAAUCUACCGUGCCCUACGGAAUAGCUCCGGGAAACUGGAAUUAAUACCGUAUACGCCCUAUGGGGGAAAGAUUUAUCGGGGUAUGAUGAGCCCGCGUUGGAUUAGCUAGUUGGUGGGGUAAAGGCCUACCAAGGCGACGAUCCAUAGCUGGUCUGAGAGGAUGAUCAGCCACAUUGGGACUGAGACACGGCCCAAACUCCUACGGGAGGCAGCAGUGGGGAAUAUUGGACAAUGGGCGCAAGCCUGAUCCAGCCAUGCCGCGUGAGUGAUGAAGGUCUUAGGAUUGUAAAGCUCUUUCACCGGAGAAGAUAAUGACGGUAUCCGGAGAAGAAGCCCCGGCUAACUUCGUGCCAGCAGCCGCGGUAAUACGAAGGGGGCUAGCGUUGUUCGGAAUUACUGGGCGUAAAGCGCACGUAGGCGGAUAUUUAAGUCAGGGGUGAAAUCCCAGAGCUCAACUCUGGAACUGCCUUUGAUA